UUGACCUCGGAAUCAGGUAGGGGUACCCGGCUGAACUUUAAGCAUAUCAAUAA
rnacentral:rRNA from 1 species